GACGAACGCUGGCGGCGUGCCUAACACAUGCAAGUCGAGCGGAGAAAUUAAAGCUUGCUUUAAUUUCUUAGCGGCGGACGGGUGAGUAACACGUGGGCAACCUGCCCUUGAGAGGGGGAUAACACAGAGAAAUUUGUGCUAAUACCGCAUAACAUUUAGACUUCGCCUGGAGUUUAAAUCAAAGGAGUAAUCCGCUCAAGGAUGGGCCAGCGGCGCAUUAGCUAGUUGGUGAGGUAAUGGCUCACCAAGGCGACGAUGCGUAGCCGACCUGAGAGGGUGAUCGGCCACAUUGGAACUGAGACACGGUCCAGACUCCUACGGGAGGCAGCAGUGGGGAAUAUUGCGCAAUGGGGGAAACCCUGACGCAGCAACGCCGCGUGAGCGAUGAAGGCCUUCGGGUUGUAAAGCUCUGUCUUUGGGGACGAUAAUGACGGUACCCAAGGAGGAAGCCACGGCUAACUACGUGCCAGCAGCCGCAGUAAGAC
rnacentral:rRNA from 1 species